AUGAAGGGUUAUGAUGGCAGUGGCAGCUCAUGUAUAGGCACUGUAGAACUGCAGCACCCCCUAUUUCCACUCGAUAUUAUCGAUAACAUUCAAU